rnacentral:lncRNA from 1 species
UGGUACCAUCAAUGCAAAAAGGAAAUGAAACAGCCAGAAAUCUUCACAUCGCGCUGAAUGCAGUAAACGUUCUGCUCUUUGUGUGGCAGAUUCCCACUGGAAUUGACAUUGUGUUCAAGGUGUUUGAGUUCACAACAUGGCCUUGAAUGUAAGAUUCUAAAUUGUAAGUUCCCUGCUAUUUUACUUUCAAUUUUGCCUUCUGGCAACACCAAAUAACGCAAUUUUUGAAAUUUUCCAUUCUCGUUUAGCAUGUACCAUGACAGAGUGCCAGACAAGCAUUGUAUAAUUGCAUUACACCAUUCUUUAGUGUAAAUUAGCAUGUAAAGAACUUAUUACAUUCGCAUUAUUACGUAAUUGAAUGAGUAGUGCUUGUAGUCUUGCACCUUGCUUAUUCGGUAGGAAAUAUUUUAGAAAUAAUGUUGGAAAUAAUUCACGAAAAUUGCAAAUUUUCAAAUUUCUGAGGUGCAGGGACCCUGAUUUUAGAUAGAUAUUCCUGAUGAAAUACGCCUAAGUACACGAUAAAUAAGUAUUUAUCGCGGUUAUAACUUCCUUCUUUCACUGAUUGUAUAUGUUGGGGGAAAAUCCCCUUCGGAUUCACAGUUAGAAUCAAAGGUAUGAGACACAUAUAAAACUAUAAAAAAAAGAAGCAGCAAAAAGACAUGUAUUUAACGCGGUUCGACACUUUUACCUACAUCUCAUCAAAACAUCUCAACAAAUAUCCACACACAAUCAAUUAAUUGAUGCUAAUAGAGAGGAUUUCGAAUGACUCUUUGAAUAAGCAUCGAUGGAUUGUUUCUCACAAUUCCAAGAGCCAGCUCCCUUAGAAAUUGGAAACAAUUACACUUAUACUCUUUGCUUUUUUGAAUUGCACAGAAUAUCGCUCUUUUUUUAUUUUAUUUAUAUACUUUGAAAAAUAUUAUUUUGACACCUCCUUAUAUAUUAUAUUAAUUGCUAAAUUAUUUGAAAAAUACUAUAUCAUAUCCCUAUAAAGAAUGUUGUUGUAAACCUUAAAUAAGGAUGACUAUUGUGUGUGCACUUCAAAAAAACCUCACAGGAUAUUAAUGUAAUUUGUGCUAGAAGUGAUCACAUCUAGAUCUAGAUCAAUAGUAAUAAUUUUCACUUUUUAAAUUUAUUAUAUAUUAAAUCCACUCCAAAUAAUAUUUGAAAAUUUGAAUUGAUUUUCUCAACACUAUGGAUCAGUUUAAUUUGAAAAAAAAAUGUAAUACCUGACAAGAUAACUCUAAUUGUAGCAUGUUUGAUUUGAAAGACAAAAAUACUCCCUUAUCUCUUCUUUCUCUCCCCCACUCUCUUGUUUCAGUUUCUGAUUUUACUCAAAACUGUCGUCUUCUUGCUUAAGCGUAUCAAACGCGAGUGCGGA